rnacentral:rRNA from 1 species
UACAGAGGAGCCAAGCGUUGUCUGGAUUGACUGGGCGUAAAGCGCACGCAGGCGGUCGGGCGCGUGGGGUGUGAAAUCUGGCCGCUUAACGGCCAGGCGCCAUCCCAUACGGCUCGACUGGAGUGAUGCAGAGGUCGAUGGAAUUGCCGGUGUAGUGGUGAAAAUGCGUAGAUAUUGGGAGGAACACCAGUGGCGAAGGCGGCUCACUGGACCGGUACUGACGCUGAGGUACGAAGGCAUGGGUAUCGAUCGGG